CGUUAAACAAAAAAACUGAAAUACAUGCCCUAUUUUAAUCUGCUCUAAAAAUAAGGUAAAAAAAGGUAUGAACCUGUGUGUGUUAUAUAAUAAAAAGGUGGAGCACUGAUAGGGUUAAACUCCUGUUCUUAGUAGGUUAUGGCGGGAACUGGUAUAUCUGUUCUGAGAAGAGGGAAAAAGCUAUGCCUGCUCUUUAUUUUGAGUUAACCGACAGGUUUUCAUAACAAUCACUUUUUUUUUUCUUUUUUUUUUUGUUUACUGCGUUCAUCUAUUCUUCCCAUACUUUAAAAAUGGCACAUGAGAAGAAUUUUAACACAAGAGCAAUCUGUAUGAAAUAACAAUUUGCAUUAUGCAGACACAAAACCAUUUUGAAAAAAUAAAUAGUAUUUCCUGGUCACUCUUAAUGCAUCCCCCAACAAGGAAAAUGCGGACUAAAUUAUAUGAAUCCAAUCAAAAGGUGUGGUUUGUAAAAAUAUUCAGGUAAAUAGCUAUGCAGACUUUAUAUUAUAGCUAUAAUAGGAUUUUACUUUUAUACAAAAUAGUUUUCAUGAAUUGAAUAUGCAUUCUCAUCAUUUAAAGGCCAAAUAUAUUGAAACUAUU